rnacentral:rRNA from 1 species
UACGUAGGGGGCAAGCGUUGUCCGGAAUCAUUGGGCGUAAAGCGCGCGUAGGCGGCCCGGUAAGUCCGCUGUAAAAGUCCAGGGCUCAACCCUGGAAAGCCGGUGGAUACUGUCGGGCUAGAGUCCGGAAGAGGCGAGUGGAAUUCCUGGUGUAGCGGUGGAAUGCGCAGAUAUCAGGAGGAACACCAGUGGCGAAGGCGACUUCCUGGCCUGUUCUUGACGCUGAGGCGCGAAAGCUAGGGGAGCAAACAGG